CGGGCAGUAGAUCAGUGGUAGAGCUCCCGCUUUAUAUGCGAGAAGAUUUGGUUCGAUUCCCGGCUGCUUGC
rnacentral:tRNA from 1 species